rnacentral:rRNA from 1 species
GACGUAGGGCGCGAGCGUUGUCCGGAUUUAUUGGGCGUAAAGAGCGUGUAGGCGGCCCGGUAAGUCCGCUGUGAAAGUCCAGGGCUCAACCCUGGGAUGCCGGUGGAUACUGUCGGGCUCGAGUCCGGAAGAGGAGUGUGGAAUUCCUGGUGUAGCGGUGAAAUGCGCAGAUAUCAGGAGGAACACCAAUGGCGAAGGCAGCACUCUGGGACGUGACUGACGCUGAGACGCGAAAGCGUGGGGAGCAAACAGG